rnacentral:lncRNA from 1 species
GUCCCCUCUGUGUCCCUCUUCCUGUGCUUUCCACAAGGCCUGACAGUCUGUGGCUCCAGGUCCCCGGGAGGUCUUGCCAUCCCAGUGCCUUGUUUACCCAUAAACUGGAUUCGGUGAAAUGGCCUGAGUGAGCCUCUGGGCCCCACAACCUCAGGAACCUCUCCUGGGCUGUAGGUCAAUUUCUUAGAAUGCCGUCAUGAAGACAAAGCGGAAGCCAUCAACAAAACUGAAGAGUCAAGGCAGCGAGUAAAUCCAGCCAAUGGCCCAUUUCAAAUACUGGCCCCGGGGUGAAUUGGAUCUCAAAGAAAUGACCUUCAGGGAAUUAGGCUCCCUCCCCUGGGGCCCUCCUCACCCAGGUCAGGCCACGAGGAAAGCUCACAGACCAGACGUGGCCGGCUGUCCCCACAGCCCUGGGGUCCCUGGGGUCCCACUGGAGUCCUAACGCUGGAUUCCCUCAUUCCAGCUGCUGAUCACACUGAUUUCACGGUCGUCAAACAAGCUCAGAGAGGAUUCUGGAGUUUUGCAGAAUGGAAGUGAUACCUGAGAGGGGAGCUGCUGAGAGGAAAGGGCUCCGUGGGCUCACAGUUUCAGAGGUCUCAGGGCCAGACCGAGGGGCCCCUCCACUUCAGGCCUGUGGCAGGGAAGCACAGGGAGACAGGAAGUGUGGUGGGCAGAGGGCAAAGGGAGAAGGAGGAGGGGCCAGCUCCCCCCAACCACCUAAAGACCUCCCGCCAGGCCCCACCUUUUAAAGACCCACCACCUCCAAUAUCACCACCCUGACCAUGCCUGUCACACAUGGCCUGAGGGAGACACUUAACAUCCAACUAUAACAGUUCAUUGUGCCUCACCAUUAGUCCUGAUGGUCCCCACACUCCAGCCAGCUGGUGUCCCUCACCAUCAGUGACUUUUUGGCCUUGCUUUCCCAAGCUCCAUCUGUGAAGGACAGGAGGCUGCAAAGGCCUAGGAACGCCCUAAGCAUCAGACCAGGAGCCCCAGCCCACCUGCCCCCAUGAGUGGUGACAACGCUUCUGCUCCACCUGGUCCCUGGAACUGCUUGGCAGGGGUCAACUGACGCCUCUGCUGCUGUGCUGCCUGACUCCCUUUUCAGAAAACCAACCUCAUCGAGCUCAAGUUCAAGUUCACCACUUCAAACCUGCUGUUCAACGGACCUUAAUAAAUAUGUCACCCAAAUCACCACGAUUGUGUGCUCACAAGGACAGGCUUGGCCUGGACCGCUCAGCUCAGUUCCAAGGACCUCAAACUCGGAACAUCUCGAGUUCCACUCGUCAGACUGGCUCCUCCCUGCCUCGCCUCCCUGGUGGAUGCCCUAUCGCCCCACCAGCACCCAAGCCACGGCACCACCAUCACUCUGAGCUGGGUCCCUGCAGGGGCACGUUGGGGUCUUUCUUUCUGCAUCUUGGCCACCCACCCCAUCUCUAGGUGGCCACCAGAGCUGUCUGAGACCCACAUCUGGUCAGGCUCCACCCUGCUGAAGUUAUCCAGUAGCUCUGCUGAUUCCAGGUAAUGGCCACCCCCCACACACACUGGGGAUCAUUGUGUUGCUGUAGAUGCAAUGAUUAUGGGUGGCCUCUGCCCAAAACCACUUUUGCAGACUCUUGGACAGAAAAGCCAGGACUCAGCAGGGAUUCAGAGGAGCUACCUACCUGCUUCACCCCAUCCCAGUCGGCCUGUGGAGUCUAAUUCUGCGUUGCACAAACUGACCACUGGACGGGCACUGACCUGUCCAAACAGGCCUCUGGGACCAGGACCAGUGCAUUGGGCCCCACUGACCUCAUCCUCACACUGGGUCAAAGGAGCAGGUCUCCUUCCUACUUUGCUGGUUGCACAUAGAGAGAGUGAACAGCAAGCUUGGCACCGCCAAU